CCCUGUCGCACCACGAGGC
rnacentral:sRNA from 1 species